UAGCCAGUGUUCAGUUUGCUCCCUAGACUAAGUCCCUGCCUGCGGGAAUGGAGAGGGCAGCACGGCAGAUGCUGUGGGGCUGGGGACGCUGGAAUCGAAGCUAAGCGACGAUGAGUCACCGGGCAUCCGCAGUGGAUGGGAAAGGGGAAGCCAUUUUGCCGCAGCAGAGCCGGCUAUUUCCAGUUUCGUGCUUCAAGCAAGAUAGUACUGCUCGGCCUAUGGUUUGCCUCAGCCCAGCUCGAGGUGAACUUAGCCAGCCACAAAGCCUUUUGCCCUCACUAGCAGAAGAGCACAUAAUGGAAAUGGAACCCAGAGUCUGAGAUAAUCUCAAAAACUAAAUGCGGGGGCUUCCCUGGUGGCUCAGCGGUAAAGAAUCCAUCUGCCAAUGCAAGAGACACAGGUGCCAAUCCUGAGCUGGGAAGAUUUCAUAUCCUGUGGAGCAGCUAAGCCCAGUGUGCCACAACUGUUGAGCCUGUGCUCUAGAGCCCGGGAGAUACAAUUGCUGAGCCCACCUGCCACAACUACUGAAGCCCGAAUGCCCUAGAGCUCCUGCUCUACAACAAGAGAAGCCACAGCAAUGAGAAGCCCGAAUGCUACACUAGAAAUAACCCCUCUCCCCGGCUCAUAACUAGAGAAAGCCCGUGUGCACCAACGAAGACCCAGCACAGCCAAAAAUAAAUUAAUGAAAUUAUUUUAAAAAUAACUAAAU
rnacentral:lncRNA from 1 species